GGCGAAGGGGGCUAGCGUUGUUCGGAAUUACUGGGCGUAAAGGGCGCGUAGGCGGCCUUCUAAGUCGAACGUGAAAUCCCCGGGCUCAACCCGGGAACUGCGUCCGAUACUGGAAGGCUUGAAUCCGGGAGAGGGAUGUGGAAUUCCAGGUGUAGCGGUGAAAUGCGUAGAUAUCUGGAGGAACACCGGUGGCGAAGGCGACAUCCUGGACCGGUAUUGACGCUGAGGCGCGAAAGCCAGGGGAGCAAACGGG
rnacentral:rRNA from 1 species